GAAGAAUUAAGCCCUAGACCAAAGCAGAGCAAAAAGGGGUCCUUGCCUGAAUAUCUGAACGGCAUUAAUGAAAACAUGUCUCCCUGUUUCCCUUUACAGUCUUCAUGGAAAUCAGCUCUGUCCACUGACUCAGAGCGACACACCGACUGGAAGAAGGCGCCGGCCCGCGUCGCAGUCUCGGCAGUCUGACGGCAUUGCAUUGGCUGCGAGUGGGUCACAUGCCUAUCUCUCAGCCUAUCGCUGUGGGCAGGGGAAUGCAGCGUGCUCAUUGGCUUAGACCUGGUUCCCAGCAUCCAACCCUGGAGCUGCUGGGGGUGGGAUCAGUCUGACUCAAACCACGCGGACGGGUGGAGCGGUUCCUCGGCGGGAAGCCAGCUGGGAGUGCCACAGGACGGUGACGUGUCACAGAGCAACAGCCCAAACCUGCAGUAUCAGAGACAGAGAGGAAGACACAUGGAGGAGCAGAGUGGGCCAUUGAGGACGACACAGAGACUGGAGUGACGCAGCCACAAAGAUGGCACAUAGCCACCAGAAGCUGGAAGAGGCAAACCAGGAGUCUACCUAAGAGCCCUCAGAGGAAGUGCAGCCCUGCCAACACCUUGAUCUGGGAUUUCUGACUCCAGAACUGCCUCAGAGUGGAGUGGAAGCAAAGGCAAUCGAGAGACUUCAAUGCACCAGGAGCUGUUUCACGACGAGCUUAUUUCUCAUUUGUCUUCAUUAGAAGGAUUUCAAGAUUGGAACGUUGAAUGGACCACUCACUGACAACUGAUGGGAAGAUUAGUAAUCAAAGGUUGGAGCUAUUUGGAAAGGGAAUGUGCCCUGCUAUGGGGAUUGAUGGGAAAAUGAAGAGGGAGCUCCAAGCCCUCAAAUAGACAUGAUUUAAGCUAAAAGCCCAAGAAGCUGCUGUGGGGGAAGGAGAGCAAUGGAUUCCGUCUCCUCACGGAGGCUGCAUCACGUGCCCAUCCGGGGAAGUGCAGACAGCCCUCUUCAGAAACGUGGAGUAGCCAAGUGGUGCUCUUGAGAAAGCCAAUUGCGGGAAGCUCCUCACAUUUUAGCUCAGCUCUGUCUGAGGAGAGAGAACAUUUGUCAGUGAAACAAACUGUGUGAGGAAGUCAUGGCUUUUGUGAAGAGACCGAGUGUUCAAAACAUGUUUCCUCUGGUUCUGUGAUCAUCGUUUGCCAGAAGUUUGUUUCAUGGGCGUAUUUUUCUAGCCUCAAUGAAUUCAGGCCUUUCCAUCGAAUUUCAGUUGAGAAGUGAGGAUCUUGGAGAUUUUUGGCUUUUCAAUUCAUAGACUACGCGCGAGGCCGAUGAAGCUAUUAAUUCCACUCACAUGCAUUUAUCACUCCCUCGUCUCCUCAGCCUCCUCCCUCAGACUCUACUGAUUCAUUCCAGAAACAAAAGCAUAGACAUUGUCAGAUUCUACACUUGAAUUUGAACUGGCCCACAGUUCAGAUUGAAGGAAAAUGAAAGACUCUUGUUGGUGGAUAGUGCUGGAGAAGUCUAAACAGAGAUGUCUGUGGCCAGGAAGAAUGCCUCUUAGGGACACUUUGGAAGACCAGCACAUAUGCAGACAAAAUGAGGAGAGCUUCCCUGAGAGAGCUAGUGGUUGAGCCUCUAACUUGGAGUUCUCAUUCUGUCCUCCUAUUUAAGAUGAAAUGAGGCUCUGAGUAAAGAAUCCUCCUCUUCUGGAAUCUCAAAAUAUUAAAGCAGUUAAAAAAUAAGAUGCAAAAUAAAUGAGUGUUCGUUACGAGGCUGAAGAAAAAUGUGGAUACUGCUUUUUGAAGGAGCUCAGUUCCUGAUGUAAAGAAAAACAUCUCGAGGAACCAGACACUGGGAAUCAUGGCACAGGGGCAAAGAUCAAUACAUUCCAGCCAAGCUUUGUAUCCCAGGGGCUUUAAAUACACAUAACUCUGUUUCCUUACAGUUGGAUGACGUCAUAAACUUGCAUGAUCCAUAGCUUGUGUGAGCGCGCUGGACCGUGAGGCAGUAACACAGAGCACCUUCAUCCCUCACUCGUGUCACCCUGCAGGAUGGCCAGGUAGCCCUUCUCCAUCUGGUAAUUACGCCACGGGAAAACGUGGUCCCAAAGCAGGGAAAGGGGUGGAAGGAGACUUGAGCAGAAUGUUUCCAAGGGCCAAACUUAGAAGUGGUUUACAUCAGUUCCGCCCACAGUUCAUGGGUCAGACUCUGACACCUGGCUGACUGAGAAGAACCUUGGGAAUAGUUGUCUUCCUGUGUCCCAGGCCAGAGGAUCUGGGCGGGUUGCUGGAGUGGUGGGUGAGUCCUCAGCAUUAUUUCUGCCACAUAGCCAGAGAUCAUUUUUUUCCCCUCUGAAUUUUUCAAAACACACAUCAACAUUGAAAACAAAAAUGCCAAUAUUUCUCACAAUCAUAAGAAAAUAAAUGUUUUUAGAAUCAUCAUGGUACUUCUCAGAGAGUGCUAUUUGCUUCUUUACUGAAUAUGUUAUACCAAGGAAAUAGCACACAUCGACAUAAUUUUUAUCUGUGGAAAGACUGUUAAGGAAGUCUUGGUAACUACUCAUGUAAAAACAUAUCUGGAUCAUAAUCAACAUAAAUGGUUUUUCUACAUCAUAUUAUAACAGUUAAAGCAAGACUUCUCGGGCACAUAAUCCAGUCUUUAUUAUAUCCUUUAUGUAGUGAGUUGAAUUAUGUCUUCCAAAAAGAUGCAUUCAAGUCCUAAUCCCUCGUGCCUGUGAAUGUGACCUUAUUUAGAAACAGGGUCUUUGCAGAUGUAAUCCAUUAAAAUGAGGUCAUACUGGAUUAGGAUGGGCUCUAAAUCCAAUGACUCAUCUUUAGAAGAGAAAGGAGAGGGCGAUGUGGAUACAGAGACAUAUAGACACAUAGAAGGGGAAGAGCCAUGUGAAGUUUGAGGCAGAGACUGUAGGGAUGCAGCUACAAGCGAAGGAAUGUCAAGGGUUUUUGGCAACUAUCAGAAGCUAGAAGGGAAGCAUGGAAUGGAUUCUCCUUUGGAGACUCCAGAAGGAAUCAAUCCUGCUGACACCUUGAUUUCAGAUUCCUCAAGAAUGGUGGGAGAAUACACUUCUAUUGUUUUAAGGCACUGAGAUUGUGGUGAUUUGUUACAGUAGUCCUAGGAAACUGGUAUACUUGACUUACAAAGAAUCUGGACUUUAAGAGACGAUACCACCUUUAGGCUCCUACUGUGUGCAAGGCACCGCUAGACAUGAGUGAUAUAAAGGUGGGCACAAGAUGCUUGUAAAUGAGUGGAGGUGAAAGACAUAUAAACAGAUAUGUUUGAAUUCAACUGGGGGGCAUUCUUGUGCUUUUGACUCCCCAACUCAAAAAGAGAACAAAUCUAACAUCAAAAAUUAUGUUUUGUAUUAUCACUUCUUAUUCUUUCUCUAAUAGUCAGUUCAUUUCAACAAAUACUUAGGCUCCACAGUGAUCUUUCAAGACAUUAAGAUAUUACUGGUAUUAUACAACAUUAUGUUACAGGAAACAUCCCAUUUGUUUUCCCCAAAGUCUCAAGGAAAAGAUCAUUGAUGUAUUAGUAUUUGUUAAGAUCUAUUUGUUUUAGAAUGUUGCUAGAGGCUCAAAAGCAUAUACAACAGCCACCAAUUCUUGAAAAUCACUACGUAUCAGGAAAACAAUGGCAAGUGAAAACCAGUUCUUCACAACACAGAUUGGAUUUUGAUGCGAAAUAAAAGGGUUAUUUUGUGCUGAAGCUGGGAUGUCCAACUUGGAAUGCCACUAACUGGAAACCAUUUCAUGAGGAACAGCAACUGUCAGCAACUGGGUAUAUGCUGGAAAAUACAGUGAGAUAAAGAAUACUGAUAAUUGUCUGACUGUUUUUGGAAUUGUCCUUUUGGUUACAUCUGCUAAAUGUGAGACCAGAUCAUUGUCAGCUCAUUCCAGAAGAACCACAAUGAUACAAUAAUGGGGUCCUGACUCCAUGACUGUGUAACUCGUGGCUUUUUAAGGUUUCAUUAUUGACCCAACUUUGUUAAGCAAAUGACUAACUGCUGAUUUCAAAUCCUAGGAUUUGUCCAUUCUCAUAAUGGACGAACUCAGUGAAUCUCAUUCACUCAAUUUUUGUAGUACUGGUGGAAAAUGCCACGUUAAAUUUGUCAUGUUCAAAUAUUUAUGCACUGUGAUGCAUUUCCCUACGAGAGAAAAGAUGAAGAGGAAUUUUUUAACAAGUUGGCGCUGCUUUGGCACAUAAAGUCAAAUCUAGUUCAGUCCCAUUCACGGGAGUGUGUAGAGUCAUCUAUGGAUAAUUUACAAGAACAGGUUACACUGAAAUUGAAUCAUCGGUUGCUAUGGAGGUGCUGUGGCCAAAUUACAGGAUGGCCCAGCACAUAGCAAAUGCUCAGGUCAAAAGGCACCAAGAAGAGAAAACUGUAACUCAGCUAAUAGGCUACUAUCUGAAGGCAGCCAUGUCAGGUGCACAUAGUACAUCCCACCUCACUCAGAAGGUCCCCCAAAUCAUUACAUUUCUUGUCUAAGGAGAACUCUGUUGCCUUGGUUUGUGGUGGUUCAGCCUACUCUGCAUUUGCUGUUAUGUGAACCACUUCCCAAAGUCUGUUGCUCUCUGUAGGAGGGGCCUCAUGGAUCCUUCUAAACACCUACCACCAGAGGUCUGCAUCUCCCCUGGAACCCCUAACUGCACCCAUCUGGAGCUAUAGCUGAUGACCUUCUUGCAACCAAGUAAUCGGGCUUAGAUAAUAAAUAUUAAUCCAAGGGUCUUCACAGUUAGAGUUCAUCUCCAUGGUUAUAGCCCUUUCCCUUCCACAGGAGGGAGAUGAACCAUCCUGUUUAUGCAGUAGUUAGUGAGAGCUCAUCAUCGAUGUCUCCUCCACUUCCAUCUAGCUCAGGUCUUCCUUAACUUGGCCAGUGUGGGGGGGAGGCAGGUGGGGGUACACAGUGAGGUGAAAUGGCAAAGAGAGUGUGCAAGUAUUUUUAAACAUCAGCACAAAUUCUGUGUUAAAUGCUGUAAUCAGUUCUUCGGAUGUUAUUUCAUUUAAUUGGGACAAGAAUCCUGUAAAGUCAUCUUGUUAGGCCCACUUGAGGAAACAGAAGAGUUAAAUAACUCACCUCAAAACCACGUUGCUAGUAAGAACUGAAGCAAAGACUUGAACCCAGGUCUAUCCAUUUUCAAGUUCCUCCAUUUUUUCUACUAUGUUUUGAGACACAGUUACUUAAGAUGCCUAACCUUUUCAUUUCUGGUCACUUCUGUCUCACUUGGGCCCUGGUGCUCUUUCUUUGUUCCUGGGAAGACCCCAAGGCCCACUUCGCUGAAUGACUCUGUCCCAUCUGUCUUGGGAUCAAAAAGCCGUUCCAAUAAUUUUUCUGCAUUCCACAGCAUAGUUCACGUAGCCCUGGGUUGUAUUUGCAAAGAUGAAACCAAGACUCGGUGAUAACUGCAUAUUCAUAUCUAUCUUUUCAUUAUAUACUUACUUUUAAAUAAAUGGGUGUCUACUGUACUGAAAACGCUUUUGAACAAGAUUCUGACAUUGUGCAAGAGAACCCUGCCACUGGGUACGCUGGGAGCUGUCUGAUUUCCCAGUCCUGGAUUCUUUCUCACCUUGUCUAGACAAUGAAGAUGAAUAAAGAUCCUUUAUUCCCACCACCUUUCCUUAACCCUCCUCCAGAGCUGGGGAAGUGUGACUACAGCUUUAAAUAGCUUUUCUUCAAGGCCGGUGAAUAAAAGGGUAUCAAUGCUCAAGUAAGUAAAAUGGAUAGAGCCCCCAGGCAGACAAGUUGCAGAAAAGUGAGCAAGUGCCAUGAAUGAAUUUGAAAGUGAGAUCGAUAAUAGGCUCUGAAGCUUAAAGGAACAGUAUUUAUUGAGUCUUAUUGUCGAGUUCCACUGAAUUCCAAAGAACAAUGUGAGUAAGUGGUUACUUUUUGGAAGGAUUUUCUGGGUGAAACGUCUGAGCUAUAUAUUGAGAAACCAUUAGAUUACAACCAAAAUGGGUUUGCUCUUAUGUUAGCAUUCUGCCAAUACUCUCAGCUAUGGAUAGAAAACAAUAAAUACAAGAGUUCUAACAAGAGACCAUGUAUACCAGCACUUUGAAAUGGGGAUAAUGCAUAGAUUUGGAAAGCUACAUUUAUAAUAAUUCAAAUAAGCGAGGCCCUGGAUUGCCCAAGUUCAACCAUAUACUGUAUGGAGCUGUUUUAUGGGAGAGGAGAUGUAUAUUUUGAACAGUGUUUUCCAUCUGGUUAACGAAAUCUGUCAAAAACUACAGAUUCUCUCAGUCUGAUUCAGUGGAAAUGAAAUAAGACUCAAGUAUGUGUGUAUUUUUUUUUUUUAACUUCCCAGUUGAUUUUGGUGAUCCACAGGUUUGGGAAUGAUUCUGCUAAAAGAUUUAGGCUACUUUGCCAUUCUUAGGCAUGAAUUAGGCAAAUCUCAUCCAUUUUCAGUGUCUGGAUCAAUCCACUGGUAAGGACUGUAAGCAUCGGAAGAGACCCAAAGAUGGAUUCCAAGAUAUCCCUCCAGGAACAGCAGCCUGGGCUGCAGUUCAGGGAGAAAGUUUGCACCACUAAUAAAGUGCUGUUGUACUGAAUUGACUCCGAGUAAAAUUUCAGCUUCCGUACUAUUUUAGCCUUGGAAAUAUUUACACCAGAGAGAUGGUUGUGUUUCUCUCCACCACACAGAACAGUACCCUGACAAUUCAGCCAGGGCUGUAAGAGGACAAUUGGACUUAGGGGGUUAAGACAAUCAUUAUUUAAGACAACACAUUUGAAACUUACAUUUCUUGGCUUGCAAGUGUGUUUAUCAUGCAAAGCAUGAUGUCUCGAGACCCUGGUCUGGCUUUGAGAGGGGUAGGAGAGGGAUACCACGGAAAAGCAAACUACAAUGGCAAGGCAAGAUUAUUUUUACAAGGACUGGAGGACUGUAUUUGUGACCCACCAAUUCAUUUCCUCUCUCAGUCAAUGGAAACAUUUUGAUGCCUCUAACAAUAGGAGAAAAGGUACUACUUUUCUUCGAUUUAUUGUCUCAGAGAGGCAGCGGCUGAACCAGGCGGAUUUAGUAUCCCUGGCUUGUAUAACAGCUAGCUCCCUCUUAAAAUACUCAAGUCUCUUCCCAGGAAGGCCUUUUAGAUCUUCUUUGAGUCACAGAUCUGUUUGAAAAUUCUACCAAGAAACACAGACACCAAAUUUUGCAUGCAAUUUCAGGGACUUAAGGAUCCUAGCUUAAGAGUUGUCAGCCUUGCAGAGGGGAUUUCGUUUUCACUCCACCAAAUUAAUUUUAAUUGAUUGCAAAAUGACUGAUGGUUAUAGUGCACAGAUCAGAAUCUAGACACUUAAACAUCUGUGGGCAUGGUCUCUGGCAGGGGUUAUUAGCUGCAUUGGUAAUGUUAAAACCUUGACUCCAUUGCUUUCCCACCUUGAAAUGAGAAAUUUACUCUUCUCCUUUGUAAGGUGUAUUAUUCUUGGGAGAAGAGACUUCAAGUACAGAUCUAUACCUGGUAAUGUCCAACACUAAUUCUGAGCACACAUCCUCCCAAAAAUCAAAUAAAAGAAAUUUACUUCCUCAAUUCUAGGAUCCACAUGGCCACUUAAGCAAUUCGGAAGAUCAUUGUACUAGUUGAUGAUCUUGAAAACCAGAACCAUGUCUACCUUACUUUUCAGGCUCACACUCAGCAUGCCCAGGCCACGGGGAAGCUCAGUGUCAAAUAGAAGAACCUGAUUGCUCCUCUCAGUUCUCGAGGGAGGAUAACAUAACCUCACAGAUGCAAACCAUGAGAACCCUCUUGUAUCAACUUUAAUAGGCCUGUUUAAUCUGGUUUCUAUUACGUAUUAUACAUCUAGCUCAUUUUAAAAAGCAGCCAUUGAUCCUUAGCUCUACAAAUGCCUGCCACUGAACAAGUAACUUCACUAUAAAGUCUGAAAUGCUAUAAUUCAGUGCUAUGUUCAGUUCAUUUUGGCUUUCUGUGUGAGGGCUGGACAUCACGGGGAAGAUCUGAUCACUGGUUAGCUGGGACAACUGACUAGGGCCCUCAAAGAUGCCUUUCUUAGUUCAGAAAAUUCUUGGUCCCGGUUAACCAAGUAAAAACUGUUACCUUUAAUCUUUUUUAAAAGCCUCACUUUCUUUUAAUCAAAGACCCAAACAAACACGCCCAGCACUUGAAUACUGAAGGGCAAUGUCUGAAUAUAAACACAUAUUUUGAUGCCUAUCGGUUAGACUUUUUCUAACAAGAGACAUUAUUUAUGAAAUCUCUGAAGUCUCAUAUUAUUUUUGUCACCUGCUAUAAUCUAGCCCCUGAAAAAACUGGGUUAUGCUGCCCCAGAUAUUCAAACCAAUCUAAUUUUCAUGCCAACCAAAUAAAUAAGCUGAAUACCUGAAAACGAAACUUGUUUAAGCAUAUGUAAUCUUAGCAGACAUUAAAUAUAACAGAUGGUAAAGGCUGAUAGGUGGGGUGGCAGAUUAACUAUUUGUAUUUAAGUAUUAUAUAUUUAUAGUAGAGUCGCUUUUACAAUGGCAAUUAUUAGUGCAAGACAACAUUAGAGGCAAAUAUUUUCAGUACAUGGGUGAUAUUGCUAAGCACCUGGGGUAUGUCUAGAGGAGGGGUACCUUAAGAAACAGCGCCCGAGUAAGGAAGUACUUUUCUCCUAAGAGGUGGAUGUGGAACCAGAAUACCAGGGUUAGUUAAGUUUUCAUCAAAUAAUUUUUUUUAAUACUAUCAGUCCUUGUGUUUCUAUAAAAGAGCAGAUAUAGUGCCACACGAUAGAAAAUCUAAAUCAGAUUGAUUUGCAUGGUAUUCUAAUUUGCAUGUUUGAACACAUUUUUAGUGACAGGGAGGGGAAAGGGCAGACACAUAUUACGUAGCAAGGAUCAACUACCAUUUUUUAAUUUGCCAUGGAUUAUACACAGGAUCAAUCAAAUUUACUCAAACACAAGUAUUGAC